CGCCUCUUGAUCAAAUAUAAGAGGUCUAGCCUGCCCAGUGACGUACUUAAACGGCCGCGGUACCCUGACCGUGCAAAGGUAGCAUAAUCAUUUGUUCUUUAAAUAGGGACUUGUAUCAACGGCAUCACGAGGGUUAUACUGUCUCCCCUCUCUAAUCAGUGAAACUGACCUCCCCGUGAAGAGGCGGGGAUAAAAAUACAAGACGAGAAGACCCCAUGGAGCUUCAAACCCAAUAACAACCUCCUUAAACAAAAAGCCACAAAACUCUGAGGACCUGUAUAUUGGUUUUAGGUUGGGGUGACCACGGAGUAAAAUAAAACCUCCCUGACGAAUGGAUUUAUUCCUAAUCCAAGAGCCACUGCUCUAAGAAUCAAAAAUUUGACGUAACAUGAUCCAGCACUAAACUGAUCAACGAACCAAGUUACCCUGGGGAUAACAGCGCAAUCCAUUUCAAGAGCCCCUAUCGACAAAUGGGUUUACGACCUCGAUGUUGGAUCAGGGUGUCCCGGUGGUGCAGCCGCUACCAAAGGUUUGUUUGUUCAACAAUUAAUACCC
rnacentral:rRNA from 1 species